UACAGAGGGUGCGAGCGUUAAUCGGAAUUACUGGGCGUAAAGCGCACGUAGGUGGCGACGUAAGUCGGGUGUGAAAGCCUCGGGCUCAACCUGGGAAUUGCAUUCGAGACUGCAUUGCUGGAGUACGGAAGAGGAGGGCGGAAUUCCCGGUGUAGCGGUGAAAUGCGUAGAUAUCGGGAGGAACAUCAGUGGCGAAGGCGGCCCUCUGGUCCAGUACUGACACUCAAGUGCGAAAGCGUGGGGAGCAAACAGG
rnacentral:rRNA from 1 species